GACGUAGGGCGCGAGCGUUGUCCGGAUUUAUUGGGCGUAAAGAGCUCGUAGGCGGCUUGUCGCGUCGACUGUGAAAACCCGCGGCUCAACCGUGUGGCGGGCAGUUGAUACGGGCAGGCUAGAGUUCGGUAGGGGAGACUGGAAUUCCUGGUGUAGCGGUGAAAUGCGCAGAUAUCAGGAGGAACACCGGUGGCGAAGGCGGGUCUCUGGGCCGAUACUGACGCUGAGACGCGAAAGCGUGGGGAGCGAACAGG
rnacentral:rRNA from 1 species